UACGGAGGGGGCCAGCGUUGCUCGGAAUUAUUGGGCGUAAAGGGCGCGUAGGCGGCUCGCUAAGUCAGACGUGAAAUCCCUCAGCUUAACUGGGGAACUGCGUCUGAGACUGGCGAGCUUGAGUGCAGGAGAGGAACGCGGAAUUCCAGGUGUAGCGGUGAAAUGCGUAGAUAUCUGGAGGAACACCGGUGGCGAAGGCGGCGUUCUGGACUGUAACUGACACUGAGGAACGAAAGCCAGGGGAGCAAACGGG
rnacentral:rRNA from 1 species